GAUGAAGAACGCAGCGAAAUGCGAUAAGUAGUGUGAAUUGCAGAAUUCAGUGAAUCAUCGAAUCUUUGAACGCACAUUGCGCCCCUUGGUAUUCCAUGCGGCAUGCCUGUUCGAGCGUCAUUUGUACCUUCAAGCUCUGCUUGGUGUUGGGUGUUUGUCUCGCCUCUGCGUGUAGACUCGCCUCAAAACAAUUGGCAGCCGGCGUAUUGAUUUCGGAGCGCAGUACAUCUCGCGCUUUGCACUCAUAACGACGACGUCCAAAAGUACAUUUUUACACUCUUGACCUCGGAUCAGGUAGGGAUACCCGCUGAACUUAAGCAUAUCAAUAAGCGGAGGA
rnacentral:misc_RNA from 1 species